rnacentral:rRNA from 1 species
UACGAGGGGGGCGAGCGUUGUUCGGAAUUAUUGGGCGUAAAGGGUGCGUAGGCGGCCUGACAAGUCUGAUGUGAAAUCCCUGGGCUCAACCCAGGGCCUGCAUCGGAAACUGUCGGGCUUGAGUAUGGGAGAGGUGAGUGGAAUUUCCGGUGUAGCGGUGAAAUGCGUAGAUAUCGGAAGGAACACCUGUGGCGAAGGCGGCCAUCUGGAUCAACACUGACGCUGAGGCACGAAAGCGUGGGGAGCAAACAGG